UGGGGAAUCUUGCGCAAUGGACGAAAGUCUGACGCAGCGACGCCGCGUGGGUGAUGAAGGCCUUCGGGUUGUAAAGCCCUGUGGGGAGGGACGAAUAAGUUUCGGCUAAUACCCGAAGCGAUGACGGUACCUCCUUAGCAAGCACCGGCUAACUCUGUGCCAGCAGCCGCGGUAAGACAGAGGGUGCAAACGUUGUUCGGAAUUACUGGGCGUAAAGCGCGUGUAGGCGGCCCGGCAAGUCGGAUGUGAAAGCCCUCGGCUCAACCGAGGAAGUGCAUUCGAAACUGCCGGGCUAGAGUCCUGGAGAGGAUAGUGGAAUUCUCGGUGUAGAGGUGAAAUUCGUAGAUAUCGAGAGGAACACCGGUGGCGAAGGCGGCUAUCUGGACGGUGACUGACGCUGAGACGCGAAAGCGUGGGGAGCAAACAG
rnacentral:rRNA from 1 species